rnacentral:rRNA from 1 species
CAGUUCCUACGGGAGGCAGCAGUGGGGGAUAUUGCACAAUGGGGGAAACCCUGAUGCAGCGACGCCGCGUGUGGGAAGACGGUCCUCUGGAUUGUAAACCACUGUCCCCAGGGACGAAGAUGACGGUACCUGACUAAGAAGCCCCGGCUAACUACGUGCCAGCAGCCGCGGUAAUACGUAGGGGGCAAGCGUUAUCCGGAUUUACUGGGUGUAAAGGGAGCGUAGACGGCAGGGCAAGUCUGGAGUGAAAGCCUGGGGCCCAACCCCGGGACUGCUUUGGAAACUGCCAUGCUAGAGUGCUGGAG